CAGUAGCCCGGUAAAACGGAGGGUGCUAGCGUUGUUCGGAAUCACUGGGCGUAAAGGGCGCGUAGGCGGCCUGUUAAGUCGGAUGUGAAAGCCCGGGGCUCAACCCCGGAACUGCAUCCGAGACUGGCAGGCUUGAGACCGGGAGAGGAGGGUGGAAUAUCCAGUGUAGAGGUGAAAUUCGUAGAUAUUGGAUGGAACACCGGUGGCGAAAGCGGCUCUCUGGCCCGGAUCUGACGCUGAGGCGCGAAAGCGUGGGGAGCAAACAGGAUUAGAUACCCGUGUAGUCCCUGUCUCUUAUACA
rnacentral:rRNA from 1 species